rnacentral:rRNA from 1 species
GAUGAACGCUGGCGGCGUGCCUAAUACAUGCAAGUAGAACGCUGAAGGAGGAGCUUGCUCUUCUGGAUGAGUUGCGAACGGGUGAGUAACGCGUAGGUAACCUGCCUGGUAGCGGGGGAUAACUAUUGGAAACGAUAGCUAAUACCGCAUGACAACAGUUCUUGCAUGAUAAAUGUUUAAAAGGGGCAACUGCUCCACUACCAGAUGGACCUGCGUUGUAUUAGCUAGUUGGUGAGGUAACGGCUCACCAAGGCGACGAUACAUAGACGACCUGCGAGGGUGACCGGCCACACUGGGACUGAGACACGGCCCAGACUCAUUCGGGAUGCAGCAGGAGGGAAUCUUCGGCAAUGGACGGAAGUCUGGAAGAGCAACGACGCGUGAGUGAAGAAGGUUAUCGGAGCGGAAAGCUCUGUUAUAAGAGAAGAACGAGAGUGAGAGUGGAAAGUGCACACUGUGACGGUAUCUUACCAGAAAGGGACGGCUAACUACGUG